AUUGAACGCUGGCGGCAUGCCUAACACAUGCAAGUCGAACGGCAGCACAGUAAGAUCUUGCGCUUACGGGUGGCGAGUGGCGGACGGGUGACGUAUACAUCGGAAUCUACUUUUUCUGGGGGGAUAACGUAGGGAAACUUACGCUAAUACCGCAUACGACCUACGUGUGAGAGCAUGGGAUCUUCUGCCCUUGUGCGAUUGUAUGAGCCGAUGUCGGAUUAGCUAGUUGGCUGGUUAAAGGCCCAACAAGGCGACGAUCCGUAGCUGGUCUGAGAGGAUGAUCAGCCACACUGGAACUGAGACACGGUCCAGACUCCUACGGGAGGCAGCAGUGGGGAAUAUUGGACAAUGGGCGAAAGCCUGAUCCAGCAAUACCGCGUGGGUGAAGAAGGACUUCGGCUUGUAAAGCCCUGUUGUUGGGAAAGAAAAGCAGCAGGUUAAUACCCCGCUGUUCUGACGGUACCCAAAGAAUAAGCACCGGCUAACUUCGUG
rnacentral:rRNA from 1 species